CCGCACGAGUUGCGUUUUGUUGUAAACAUAGACAGAGAGUAAUGCUGAUGGAAUUUAGGUGGGUAUUAUGUGAGUCGUAGAUGCUCAUAAAGGACCAUCACACAUGC